rnacentral:rRNA from 1 species
AUUGAACGCUGGCGGCAGGCCUAACACAUGCAAGUCGAGCGAGCGGCGGACGGGUGAGUAAUGUCUGGGGACUGCCCGAUAGAGGGGGAUAACUACUGGAAACGGUGGCUAAUACCGCAUACUAUCGGAUAACCCAUAUGGGAUUGGCUAGUAGGUGGGGUAAAGGCUCACCUAGGCGACGAUCUCUAGCUGGUCUGAGAGGAUGAUCGGCGACACUGGGACUGAAACAUGGACCAGGCUCCGAGUGAGGCAGCAGUGGGGAAUAUUGCACAAUGGGCGGAAGCCGUGUGCAGCCAUGCCGAGUGUAUGAAGAAGGCCGUAGGGUUGUAAAGUACUUUCAGCGGGGAGGCGUUACCCGGAGAAGAAGCACCGGCUAACUCCGUGCCAGCAGCCGCGGUAAUUC